AUUUUCAGAGGCCAGUGGGAAUUGGAUGCUCAGAUCCCAUUGGAUGCCUCCUGUCUGCAGUGAGGCAUCUACCUUGGAAGCCAAUCAAACUGCCUUUUAAUCUCAAUCUGGUCAUGAAAAGUUAUCAUCUGUCUACGCACAAGCCCUGCACAGGGAGAGAUUCCGUUCUCCGUACCUGGCUGGCAUAGAAGUGUCCAAUGAUUUUUACGAUGACUUGCUCAUUCUCAUCAGGAGUCUGGUCCCGUGGCACCACCAC